GGAGGGGCGCCCAAGCCAUCUUAGUCUCCACCAGCUGACUUCCAGGAAGCCUGAACAAAGGCCCUGGGAAAGCCGAGGAGAGGUCUGGGCAGCUGCCUCAACUAUGCUCUGAGCAGGGUGCACUGGCUGCUCGGGCCUAAACCUGGGACAUGGCCCAAUGCAGUUCUCUGUGGGGCUAGGAGCCUGUUCAGGAACCCAGUCCUAUUCAGGGGAAGAGGCUGCUGCAGCAGAAACCUGUGGCUGUCCACACAGUGUGCACACACAGGCACAGAGGCAGCAGCCCACCCUCUACAGCAGGAAAAUCGACAGUGGGUCUGGUCGGAGCCAGGAGAAUGCAGAGCCAAGUGGCCAGAGCAGCUGUUACAGCCCAUCUGUUCCUCAGUGUCAUUUCCAGCUGCCUUUCUGAUAUCUGAAGCCUGCCAUCAUCUAAACCUCCUUCCGCCAGCCUUGGUGUGGGGACACCUGUGUGGCAGGGUCCCAGAAGGACCAACACAUGGACUAUCCUCUGAAGGUACAGAAGCCCACUCUCUCACCGCCUGGUCUUAUCCCAUUUUUACCCUAGAUUCACAUGAAAUCAGUGAAAUGUGCUUUUAAAAAAAGGCAUAUUUAAGGGCAAAACAUUAAAGCUAAACAGUUCUCAGGAACUAAGCAGUGGCACCUGCACACAUUUCACUAUUCUUUGGCCAUUGUCCCUUACGUAAGUUCAAGGAGGGGGCACCCUUCUCACAAGAAAGCAGAGAAUGGUGUUCCUGUGAGUCUCACUCCUCCCAGAGGAGCUCCUGGUCUGUGCUCAGCAUAAGCCCACGUCCACAAUACAACUGGCACCAGUCACAAAUCCUGGCAGCUGAGCUCACUGGCAAAAUGUCAGUUGGUCUUCAGGUAGAGAAGAGAGCAAGCAGAAGAUGCUGGCCUCCCACAGGGGAAAGACCUGCAGGACUCACAGCUCAGCCCAAGUGACCCUGGUUUCCGAGAACUGGGGCAGAUGAAUGGGUCAGUCAGCUCAGCUACUGGAUUUCUGAGAACAAACUGAGGGUCUUCUGUCCUGGGCUUCCCUGGUGAAGUCAGAGUGCUAGCAACACUGGCUCAGAGGGUGUCCUGGAAGAAAUCUGCAUGUUUCUGGCCCAUGCUAUCACGCUGCUGGCCCAGGCACUCUGGCUACACUCUGCUCCUUUGCAGGGCAGAGGAAGGUGGGGGAGGAGGGUGGCAGAGAACAGGCCAGGCUAAACUCAGGGCACCGGGGCUGGAAGAAACUACCUAGGCCACUUUAUGCCAAAGUUAAACUCCCCCACACAGGUCAAUCAUCUUCUCCCACCUUGUCAAUAUCAGGCAAUACCACCAGUAUAAUAGGCAAGAGCACAGGCUCUGGGACCAGGCAGCCUGGGUUGGACCCCAAAGCUCAUGAGCCAUGGGCAAGUUUCUGAUUCUCACGGUGCCUCAGGUUUCUCAUCUGUAAAAUGGGGACGAAACCACUUACCUCACAGGGUUGUAUUAAAUAACACACGCCUGGCACAGAGCAGGCACUAUAGAAAGAUUCUUUUGCAUCAGUGGUAGAUACUUGUAUUAUUCUAUGCUAUCUUCCAUGUUUACUUUUAAUAUAUACUACUUUAUAACCUGUAAUUUGUCUAUUUAUAUAGAACCCCAAUGUCAAUGCAUGGCAGAGAGUUUGCUCUUAUUUAGAAAUUCCUUCACUCUGAUACAGAAACAUCACUGGAUCCUACUAGCAGCCAAGAGUUAAGCAGAACUCUACACCUAGAACGUGCUGCUUUUCAGACUUUGCAAGCAUUCACGUCACACUGCAGAGCACAAAGGAGAGCCGUCAUCUGAGAAGGCCCCACUGAGGGCACAUUCACAUCACCAUGUGGAUAGGACUGUUUGUUCAACUUGCCAAUGUAUCCUUAGCACCAAUGAAUACUCCCGAGCUACUAUCAGCUGAGACGUGCUGAGGCUGAAAAGCUUUGGUCAGCCUGCCAAGGUCAUGCAGUGAGUGUGCUCACUCAUGAAGAGGCAGCGCCCGAACCAAAGUCAUUCUUAAGCCCCUCCACCCGUUCUCUAACCGGUAAGGACUCUCCAUUGUCAUGUGGCACAGCCUACAUGAGAUCUGGAACAUUCAAUUAUCAGCUUCCUUUUCUGGCAGAGCUUUUAAGUGUGGAAGUUAUAUUCCACAGUGAUUGCAAUGUGACUCCAUCCAAAGUCCCACAAACGCUCAAGCAGCAGAAGUUUGGCCUAAUCUACGUAUGCUAUCUUCAUCUCCCACUUCUUUUAUAAAAAGAUGCAAAUGUGCAGUGCUAAUGGCAUUUAAUAUUGCUAGGUCACAGAUUUCACAGAGCUGGUAUCAAACCUGGUAUCUGUAAAUGCAGUUCCACACAGUUAAGUGUACACAGUGAAUUUAAUUUUUGAAAAAGCUACUAAAAAAAAAAAAAACCAAAAACUUCAAGAUCCACGACAAUUUAUUUUUUAGUAUAGACUCUAGAAAUAAAGCACUGUAAUUCUCAAUUAAACCUAUUAAGUCAUUAUGGCAAAAGUCCUCUUUUUAUUUACUGCCAUUGUAAAUGAUCACAAAACAUACUCACUGUUGAGUGAACACAAAGUCUUCCAAAGGUGCUUGUAUUCUGCAAGGUGGGGAAUAGCUAACUACCUUCUAAGGUGAAUGUAGAGCCUGCCAUUUCCAAUCCCAAAACUCCUCUAGAUUCUCAUCAGGGUAGCUUCUGCUUCAAGCCUCUCUUUGGAAAGAUCAGCCCUGUGUGGAAGGCUUAUAUCAACAUGGAGAUCCACCUAAGAAUCACUGGCAUGCUUUGGACCCAGCUGAAAGUCAGGCUUCCAGAAAUGAGAAUGUGUGCACACACUUCUUUUCCCACAGUUUUACUCUUUCCACAUGUCAAUUACUUACC